rnacentral:misc_RNA from 1 species
UGUGAGCUCAAUAGUCUUCCCAAAGCUAACCUUAGAAUUGCCACUGUUACCUAUUCCACUGCCUGAAAAAAUACCAUUUACAAAGGCAUGAAGAACAUGGCCGAGUGAUUGUACGUGAAGAUUGGACUGAGUCCCAUUUGUGAGAAAUGGUUCAUCGCCACUGAUUUCAACGCUUGUCGAAUACCAUAGGUAGUCACUAGCAUCAGCAGUAGUAUUUAUCUGCUCGAGUAACCCAGUUUUUAUGAAGGCAUCACUCUUUGAGAUACCGACAGGUUCAAUGACAAAACUCCAAUCUGACUGGAAUACUUGAGAAGAGUUGAUG